GAAACAGCCAGGCAGUCAUCUGGCAGGAGGAAGACGCGGCCAGGCUCUGCGUCCCAAGGGUCAGCAGGAAGUCAUGCCGGCUGGCUGGCUGGCUGGCCAUCCCCUGGGGGUGGGGGUGAGAGCAGGAGGAGUGAAGAUGCUGGUUUUUCUCUGCUCGCCCUGCCCCCUUGGCUAGGACGGACUCCUCCGCUUGGCAUCAGGACCCGGGGGAGUGUCCCUUGGAAGCCAUUUAUGACCCCAGAUGCCUGAGAGGUCCUGCUUCAUUUGGGGUGUCACCAGGGUUGUCCCCUCCCACUGAACGUCUCGUGGCUGUGAUGCCUGUCAUCAUGGAAGGACGAUGGUGACGGUGGUGACAGAUGACAGGUAUGAGCCUUCUCCAUGGGGCCUCACGGCCUUAAUGUAUCUAACAGCGGGAUGCAGAAGGUGUUAUUACUCGCCCCCUUUCCAGAUGAAGAGACUGAGGUCUGGAGAGGCCCCGUGUAUCGGUCCGUGCAGGCUGCCCUCACAAAGCAUCAUCCACCGGGAUGAGUACACAACAGAAGGCAGAGCCUCAUAAUUCUGGAGUCCGGAGGUCAGGGAUGAGGGUUGUUGACAUGGUCGGGUCCUGGUGAGCCCCCUCUUCCCGGCUUGCAGAUACGUGGCUUCUGGGGUGUUAUCACAAGAUAUAAAGAGAAAGGGGAAGGGAGGAGAAAGAAGGAGAAUUCUUUCUCCCUCUUCUUCUAAGGCCACGGAUCCUUUCUCCUUGUGGGUUAGAACCCCACCCUCAUGACCUCAGUGAACCUAAAUUACUUCCUAAAAGCUCCAUCUCCAAGUACAAUCACGUUAGAGGUUCGAGCUUUAAUUUAUGAGUCAGGGGUGUGGGGCAGGCAGACACACUUCAGUCUUUCCCCUCAAGUCUCUGGUGCCUGGGCAGGCCACGUAAGUGCCAGAGCCCCGCCUGGUUCUGCAUCUACUCUGCACUCAAGCUUUCUGAGAAGUUGCCACCCUGGGGCCUUCUGUUCAGAUGCAAAACCCCAGUUCAGCUCUUCCAAAAAGGAGAUCCACGGAGCAUGCCCAGACACUUAGCGGAUUGGUCACCAAGAGCCAGCUGCGCAGCCAGUCCAUACCAGGGGCCUCCUUUCCAAGGCCUUCAUCCAAACCUGCCCAUCCUGGGUUGGGGUCUCUUGCUGUGUGCUGAGCCAGGGAGCAGGGCAGAACCCGUUAUCGUGGAGACCACUCCAGCGGGCUCGCUCGCUGUGUGCAGACCUCAGGUCCAAGGCUUUUGAAAGGAGCCGGUCUCUGCAAGAAUCCUUAGCAUUUAGACAGACGAGGAAGCAGAGUCUCAGAACGGAUUGAGGCAUCCUGCCUUGUGAGUGCAGGGCCAAGACCCGAACCAGGGGUCUGACUCCUGGGCUCACCCAGUGGUCCAUCACGGUCCCCUAGUUUGGGGACAUACUUUGUGCAGCCUGGAAUUUUUUUUUCCCUGCUGGCUGCUUCUCAGUGGUGCUCCCAGAAAGGGCAGAUUUCCUUGAUGUGACUUCUAAAUAGCUAAGUUGUUGGCUGUGGUCCUCCUUUCCUGUUCCAAUUUAGCGAAUGCUGCCUAGGGAAUGGGAAUGCCGCCCUGCUUUCUGGAAGCCUCCAUGUGUCUCUUAGACACUCACACAGGAAAGCACGUGGACACACAGUAGCCACCAGGAGGUCUUUGGGAGAAGUGUUCUAAUGAAUAGAGAGCAAGGCUCAUUCAUUAGCAUGACAAGAGUCUGCAAGGAAAUAGGUGCUCCAGUGAGCACUCCAAAGUGGCCUGUUCUUUCAAGUAGGCUGAAAGGCCCCAGCUCUGCGGAGGCCUCUUCACGUCCCCUGGAGGAACCCGCUCUAGGCUGGCCUGUGGGAUUUUUCAAACCCAGCUGCUUUCCCCCUGCGUCCUGGGUGCCUUUUGCACAUCCCAGCAGUGGGCUUUGGUCUGGGAGACGUGGCCAGAGAGGCCCUCAUGCAAGAAUGGGCCUGACCCUGGUCUUCCGUCCUGCAGCAAUUAUCCUACUGGGCUCCGCUGCCUUGCCCCCUCGGGGGCUCCCUUUGCUGGGGCAGGCUGAUCAGCUUAAAGGGGCGCUGUCCCUGCGGGGCCUCUUGGCCUCUCUGUCCCCCCAGGUGGCCUCCGUGCAGACUGAUGCCGGAUUUGUACUCACUUAGCCUGGGAGAAGGAGUUGAGGCUAAGAGGGGACUGAUGGCCAGAGAUCAAAGGUUAAGAGGGGUUAAGCCUUCACCCCAGAAGGUCACCCAUCAGCCCUGAGACAAGUAUCUCACAGGUAUUUUCCUGAAACCUAGAGCAGAGGUAGGCCUGCAAGGAAUGUCCAUUCAUUUACUAAGGCAACACUAUAUUCCUGGCGCCAAUGCGCCAUACCUCAGUUUCUCAUUAUUAACUGUCUGACUUUGAUUUUGGACAAGGCACUGCCUCUCUGGGCCUCUCUUUCCCCAUCUCUUCCAUGAGAGGCUUGGACUUAACUGACUGACAGUCAAUGGCAGAUGGUUCAUUGUCUUGAGCCAUUUGAUUCCUUCAAUGUUCUUUUGGCUCUUGGGCAGUGAGAGGAAGUUAGACUAGCCAAGGUGGAUAGCAGGCAUGAUGGUUGGCCCUGGCCAGCGUUCUUGCAGAGGUUAUAACGUGUUUUCCCAAGGAGCGUGAUGAUCAGGGGAGACCCCGCUGGUCUGGGAUGGAGAGAUGAGCAGCGGGAUGGGCCUCACGCUGAGCCUCCGCCUCUCCCACCUGCCUGUCUGGAUGGCUCUGAUUCAGAAGGGCUGCAGUCCGUCGGGUCCCUCUCAUGCGAUGACCUCAAAGUGGUGUGGGGGCUGGUUGGUCCUGAGAACAUGGAGAAGCCCCUCCGGUCGAGGUGGGAGCUUAUUCUUCCACCUGCUUGCCUCUGACCAGUUAGGCGCAGUGCCAGGGCAUCUGUCAGAAGCGGGGAUCCUUGCCAGCUGUGCGAGCUCAGCGGUUGUGUGGGUGGCUGGGGCCUUGCAUCACGGGAACAAGCAAGGCAGAGAAGGAAAGGGAGAGGUGACAAAGGACAUGGCCGGUCCUUCCCCUCCAAGGAGGGCUUUCUGUUCCCCCUCCAAGGAGGGCUCACACCUCCUCUCCAGGGUGCUUGGCUCCGGGCCACAGGCUCAGUGGGUCAGAGGGACGCGGCUGGCCCGAGAUGGACACCAGAUGUGGACACAGGGAUGAGCAGGGGCCUGGUGGCGCUUCAUAGCAUGGCUCCGGAGGACGGAGGACUGAGGAUCAAUCCUGAGCUCCGUCGCUGGCUGUGCAGCUUGGGCAGGUCACUCAGCCUCUCUGUGCUGCUGUGUGGGCUCUCCACCUCCCCUGGGGUGACAGGGGCGUGUCAGCGAGGUGAGCCUGUAGAAGCACUUGAGCGGUGUCUGCAACACGGUCAGCCCUCCGUACGAGCGGAGCGCCAUAAAAAUAUCAGGCUGGGAGCUCCCCUGUAGUCUACUGCUCAGGACUUGGCACUUUCACCACUGUGGCCCAUGGUUCAAUCCCUGAUCUGGGAACUGAGAUCCCACAUCAAGCCAACUGCCCAGUGCAGCCAAAAAGAGGGGGUGAGGUGGGGAGAGAGCGAGAGAGAGAAAUACCAAGGAGAAGAGAGGAUGGCACAGAGAGGGUGAUGUUCAAAAUUCUUGGCAGAGUCCUUUUCCAGCCCAGGGCGGAGGGAGAGGAUGCGUGUCCCCGUGGUGAAUGUUAAUUGCUGGCAUUGUGGGGUGGCUAUUCCAAUGCAGGUGGACAACAGCUAAUAUUUUUUACAGCAUUCGCCCCUAUCAACAGGCCCACAGAGGCGGCUACUACUAUCUCCAUUUCAUAAAUGAGCCACUGAUGUCCGGUGAGGCUAGAUUUGAGUCAGAUGUUGGAUUCAGAGCCUAGGCUUGUAUCUGUCUGUCCAUCUGUCUCCCCACCUAUCUAUAUCUGUCUGUCUAUCCAUCCAUCCAUUCAUCUGUCUAAUUUAUUUUGGCCACAACCCAAGGCUUGGAAGUUCCUGGACCAGGGAUCGAAUCCAAGCCACAGCUGCGACCUACACUCCCGCUGGAGCAAUGCCAGAUCCUUGACCCACUGGGCUGGGCCAGGGAUGGAGCCUGUACCAUCGUAGAGACAAUGGUGGAUCCAUAACCCAUUGCACCGCAGCCCGAACUCCCAGAGCCUGAGCUUUUAAACGAAAGGUCCUGUAAGAUGGGCCUCCCCUGCCGUCUCAAUCACGGUCAUUUCAGAAAGUGACCUGGGAUGGGGGAGACAAGGGGGAAGCUAGGAUCCUCGUGUCUCCCUGGUCCUGUGUGGAGGGGUAGAGAAAGGGGAGCCCACCCCACCUUUCCCCAGAGGAGGGGGCUUGAGGACUCCCAGAUCCCCUGGGCUCCGGCAGGAGGCUGGCAAGGGGUGUGACUGCUCCGUGCUCCGGGCUCCCCUGGCCUUGGGCCCUGGGCGUGAUGCUCCACAGGAGUCGGAAGACUAGACCCCAUCCUCAUCAUGUUCUUCUCCGAAGAAGGAGUGGGCGAGGAAAGCCUGCAUCCCAGGAGAGGAAAGACGAGAUGUGAAAAUGGGUUUUCCAAGCAGAAGGAGAUGUUAGUCUGACGGCUUGGCUCCCAGCUGUGUUCUGGCCACAACACAAAUCAUUCUGGCCAGAAGACAGCCAGGAAGCAAGCACCUAACAAGGCCCAGCUUUCAAACAGAGAGAGCAGAGCCAGUGGCUGGACCAAGCAGCAUCCCUGACGGAGGCUUUUGAGACAGCGUGGGUGGGGGUGGGUCCUGUUCCCUCUCCCAGUGGUGCUGUUCCCGCUCCCAGUGGAGCUCAUUAACCACCUCCCCAGCAGUGAUGGAUGUGGCAAUCAGGGACAGAUGGCAGUCCCCAGAGAGGCAAAUGGGAAGAGGGGAGAAACGUCUGCCUGGUGGAAGGGACGGAGGUCAUGCUGGGAGCAAAGCUCAUCAAGAAGGAUGCUUCCCUCCAUGGCAUUUCUAUCACUGGAGGCCUUGCCAGAAAGGACAAAUGGUUGAGUGCAAGGGCCGGGAUGGCAGAACGGUCCUUCCCUGGGUGACCUCACACUAUCCCAACUGUGACAUGAAGCUCAUGUCACUGUCCGCCCCCAGCAUCCUCAGGGACGCCUCCAGGGGUAUCUCGCAGGCCAGUCCAGGGCUUUCAUGUCUACUUGUCCCCCCACUCACUGUCCACAGAACUUUUCAGAAAUCUGCUACUAGUGUUAUGGGGAUACUGAGGCCCAGAAAGGUGAAGAGAUUUUUCUUACUACUAUUCUUGACCAUGGGAUGGGAAUAUGUGACCCUCAAUCAGGAAGAAGUGGAGUUCCUGUUGUGGCUCAGCAGUUCCAAACCCCACUAGUAUCCAUGAGGAUGCAGGUUCGAUCCCUGGCCUGGCUCAGUGGGUUAAGGAUCUGGUGUUGCCAUGAGCUGUGGUGUAGGCCGGCAGCUGCAGCUCCAGUCUGAUCACCCAGCCUGGGGAACUUCCCUGUGCAGCAAGUGCGGCCCUAAAAAAAUAAAUAAAUAAAUUAGGAGGAAGUAAAUCAGGUGAGGCGAUAUGUUUAGGGAGGAGCGGUUCUCUUUUCGCCUUGGGAUAUUUGAUAACGCAGCAAGGAGACUGGAUGACACUUGACUUAGGUGAUGAUGAUUCCUACGGUGGUCUUGGAUCUACAAGCCAAAAAAAAAAAAAAAA
rnacentral:lncRNA from 1 species